rnacentral:rRNA from 1 species
GACGAACGCUGGCGGCGUGCUUAACACAUGCAAGUCGAACGGAAAGGCUCCAGCUUGCUGGAGUACUCGAGUGGCGAACGGGUGAGUAACACGUGGGUAAUCUGCCCUGCACUCUGGGAUAAGCCUGGGAAACUGGGUCUAAUACUGGAUAUGACCUUUCUCCUUAUGGGGUUUGGUGGAAAGUUUUUCGGUGUAGGAUGAGCCCGCGGCCUAUCAGCUUGUUGGUGGGGUGAUGGCCUACCAAGGCGACGACGGGUAGCCGGCCUGAGAGGGUGAUCGGCCACAUUGGGACUGAGAUACGGCCCAGACUCCUACGGGAGGCAGCAGUGGGGAAUAUUGCACAAUGGGCGGAAGCCUGAUGCAGCGACGCCGCGUGAGGGAUGACGGCCUUUGGGUUGUAAACCUCUUUCAGCAGGGACGAAGCGUAAGUGACGGUACCUGCAGAAGAAGCACCGGCUAACUAUGUG